CAAUUUGAAUGCGAAGCUGUUGGCUAUUGUGAUAUUACUUUAUUUUAGCAUCAAAGCUCCAGCUUUAAAUAAAGUAAAAAACAUCAGAUGCUAAACAUCAUGGCUGAUUAAAUGCUCUCGGGGUAUGUUUUUUUUUCCCGGUUAGAUAAGGAGGAAAUUUUCUCUUGCUCCAGCGUGCUAUAAAGACAGAUUCAUCCACUUCGUCAUGACUACUGGCAAGUUCUUUAUAAAAAAAGGAAGUAAAGUAGAAUUAAACUUCUUACCUUGUGCAAAAGUUUGCGUUAUUGAUGAUGGCAGAUCUGGAGUGUAUCAUUAGAGAUGUCUUACAGCUUAAGAUCAGCCCUGAAGCACGAUUAGAUGAUGAAAAAUGAAGAAAAAAAAGAAGAAGAAGAAGCCGAAAGCAAGUCUCCAAAAGCAACUUUUGUAAUAAAACCUAAAACACAGACUGGUGAUAAUUGGAGAAUUUAAUGACAGGAAGUUCAAAGAUAUGAGGGAUAUGGUGUCGAUGCUUCCACUUUCAGCCGCCCGUCGGUGUCGAUCCUGGCCAAAAGCGACACGACAGCCAGGAGAACAAGUCCAUUUGUCACGAGCCAUUUGGAGUAAUUUAAUCCUGUUUACACACAGCCACUGUGCUGGGCCUCGAACUUCGCCUCAAGGCCGCAGGGAGAAGAGACGAGGAUUUGCAGAAAUGGCAGACGGCCAGGAAAGGUGAGAAACAGAUGCAAGUCUGCAUACGCUGGACACAUUAUUGGAUCGAUCUGUGGCCAUGACCCACGCUGAAGAGAGCCCUUAAAGGAUGGACAACGCUACCUGUAUUGGAGAACUAUGCCUGGUCAAGCUGCAAAGACACCUCUGCGGUCCGCCCCUUGCCACGCUGCCUUUUCUGCCACCAGGACCGACAACCCUCCUCCGUCUGGCCCCCUGACCAGCGCCUCCAUCUACAGCACCUCAAGUUACGUUACCACUUUCUUUUUUCUCCCUCUUUUUGUUUCCUUCUGCUUCCCUCACCUCUUACCCCCCCCCCCCCUUCACUUACUUAAAUUAUAAAUAAACUUCUUACACCAUUUCUCCCACACUGUUGUAUUGUGUGUGCUUGGAUAAAAUGAGAUUUACAUUUACGGCAUUUGGCAGAUGUCCUCAUCCAGAGUAACUUACAACUUGCAACUUUAUCUCAUCUAUACAAAUGAAUAAAUAUGUUUCUGGCUAAGGUUAGGCCUAAAACAUUGUAUGCUAAUAUGGGGGAUGCUAUGUAUCUGACAAGCACAUUAAGGCUUUAAGCUACACAAAUUAAAUUUCUCUUUUUUGAUCAGAAAUGUGCCAUGAUAUAACAUUUCUCAAACACAUGCUGCAUUCUGAGCAUUGCCUCAAGAGGUGCUGUGGCCAACUGAAGAGCAGAAGCUUUUCUCUCUGUCAUGACAACACGUCAUGUUAUAUCUGAUGCUCUGAUCAACCAGGUAUUAAAAAAUCCCAGGUUCAGUGGUUAAGACAUUGAUCUGUUGAUCAGAAGGUUGUCAAAUCAAAUCCCAGGACCCCCAAGCUGCCAAUGCUGGGCCCUUGAGCAAGGCCUUUAACCCUAAGCUGCUCAGUUGUAUAAGUGAGAUAAAUGUAAGUCGCUCUGGAUAAGGGCAUCUGACAAAUGCUGUAAAUGGAAUGUAAUGCAAAAUGAAAAUAGAUUUGUCAAGCCAAGAAAAGGUGGAAGGUCCUCCAUAGAAAUGGCGCAGGAACCUGUUCUGUUUUUUUCUUUGACUUACUGUUCACACUGUUCUACCGUGUCCACUAAUGUUAGUAGAAAUGUCUGAAAAAGUUGUAAAGACUCUUUCUCACCCUCUAGAAUACCAAGCAGUGUAACCACUAUGGCAAGGAAAUGCAUACAUAGCAUAUGUUUUCAUCUGUUGAUGAUGAAAGCGACAAUCCAUGGACCUGGAUUAUUACUUCUCUGUAGCAUUCACUGAUUUAUUUCUCUCAGGAGGAUCUGUAACAUCUUUCUGACAUAUUGGUAGCUACUAUUACACCAAAAUUAUGGUGAGAAUUGAAGCUUUUUUUAUCCCAUGAUCCUAAACCAGAGAUUUACAGUGAUUGACCACAAGAAACCUCUACGCAAGAAAAAAAAAAGACUACAAAACAACUCUCAACUUGUUAGAUGUUUGCAAUUAUUUAUAAAGGUUGGCUGGGUUUGCGAUGUUAAAACAGUUUUCAAUAAAAUGUUGCUCUUUCUUUACUACAAGUGAAACUCUUGACACACUCUAUAAUGAGACUUAAGAUAAAAGAACAUGGCGGACAUUAAAGCGCAGCCCGACGUAACACAUCUUCAAGCCGUGAAACUGCAGAGCCUCAUUAUUCAUUACUCCUCUAAUCAUCUCCCUUACUUUCCGCUCUUAAAGCAGUAGACGGAAACGAUCCGACGAUGUUACCGCUAAUUCUGACCACCGUGUAAUGUCUUGUUAAAGACUAAACACCACGCUCUUGUUGCUGUGUGUUUGUUCAGUCUGACGAGUGUGUGUACGAGAAUGAGAAGAAAAAAAAGAAAGGCCAAGUGGUACAGUAAGUGCAAAUAAAAGGAGAUGGAUUUGAAAAGCCUUAAGCAAAGAAGCUAAAGGACUGGAAUGGAAUAGUUCACUUCAUCACCAGCUUUUUUUUUUCUUGUGUAAAGUGAGAAAAGCAUUUAACUAAAGCUUUUCAGCUAAAGAAAAAAAUGUGAAUUAACCUUUUCUUUUGGUUUGUCUAGAGUCAGGAAUGCAAAUUCCAGUCUAUUCCGACUCAGACGGAGCUGAAACGAUGAAUUAAAACAAAAACAGCCAUGUGACCCGUACACCCGAUUGUCUUCAUUUACUGUUAGGAGAAAUUACACACUCUUUUCAUGAAUAUUUUAGCAUCGAGUGUCAUUAUCUACGUGGCAUGAAGCUUCUGUAAUCAGUGGAAUAAAGUUAACUUCUUUAUUUCCCAAGAAGCCAGAAAAUAAAAUUUCCACCUGUUUUUGUUGUGUCCAUGUUGAUGAUUGAAUGUAUUUGUUAUGUUCCACUCCACAGUGGUGGUUAAUAUGAAGCUCAUAUGUAAGUAGACACUCAGGACAGUACUGCAACUUCAGUGACAAAGGCACGUCAUAGAAAGAGGCGGAAGUAGAUACAGCCUCUGUUCCUGUCAGUCUUAGAGAAGAAGGUGUGGCCUCAAUAAAGUAGGGCUAGCCUCUGUACCUGUCAGUUUCAGUAAAGGAGGUGUGGCCUCUGUGCCUGUCAGGUACAGUGAAGGAUGUGUGGCCUAUAUUUAUAAAUUUCCCUAGUCUAGUAGGGGUUAAUAUAUUCAUAGAAAAGAUCCAGAAAAACAAAAAUGGUUAUUUUUUUGGGAAGUAAAUUGUGACAUCAAACCUAUUUCUGCUGUCUGAGAUGUUCAUAAGCAGCUCAAGUUCUUGAAGGUGUUAUCUUCAACCACUAAAAUUCAGUGUAAGGUUAUCCCACUGAGGGAAAAGCAAACAUCUCACACUGAAAGCCAACAGUGAGUCCUGACUCACUUUCUAUCAGACUCAUGACUCAGAUAGCUGCAGCAAUCAACAAUCACAAAAAAAACCACUGAAAUGCUGAAAGGACCGGCGAAAGCAUUUCACAUUCAUGUUCCUUGAUAUCCAAAUCAAAUGUAUUCAUUCAUUAUGCUUCAGUAAGUGCUUUAUCCUGGUCAGGUUCAAGCCCAGGGUCAACUCUGUGUGUUACUUCUAUCAAUCAUGCAAAAAAAUAACUAGUUUCAGCUUGAUCCUGUGAGUUUUGCUCUUUUAAUUAGUCCAGGUUCAUAGAUUUCUCUGUUUUUAAUGCUGCAUGUUUGUAAGGAGCAUGUUUUCAAAUCUCUUUACUCUUGUGGAUUAGUCCAAAACUAAAAAUAUAGAAAUAUCCUUUUUAUACGGCUGAUAUGCUGAUGACACUCAACUCAUCUUUUCCUUUCCUCCAUUAGAUGCUCAUGUUUCUACAACAAUCUCAUCGAAAUCUCUGGUGGACAUCUUGUCACAGAUGGCAGCUCAGUUGAAGCAAAAUCCAGCAAGCCUGAGCUGCUGUAUCUGUGAGUAUCCUCUGAGAUGCAUCCUCAUGUCAAGAUCUUGUGAUCUCCCUGGACAGCACUCAGAUCUGACACUUCACACAACUUCAGGGAAACCACAGAUAGAACAACCAACUGUCUUUCUUUCCUCACAUCCCUAGCCAGACUCUUUCAAGGUUUCUCCUUUAGAACAUAAGAAACUUCAGGAUCUGGCCAUUUUGAUCCAUGGAGGUGUUUUUGGACAACUCAAAAACCUAGAAUACUGUAACUCGUUCCUGUGACUGAUCCAGAAGGUUACAGGAGUUACACUGGUUUUCAUCUUUGCCAAAAGCAAACCAGGGAAAGAACAACUGAUUGUCCUUCUUUUCUCACAUUGACUACCAGGCUCUGUUGAGGAUUCUCUUUUAGAACAUCAGGAAAAUCUUGAUCUUACCAGUUUGAUCCAUGGAUGGUCAUCUUGAACACCCACUGACUGCCAGGCUCUGUUGAAGAUUCUCCUUUGGAUCAUCAGAAAAAUCAGGAACUGUCCAAUUUGAUCCAUGGAUGGUCAUCUUCAACCUACAGAAUACUGUAACUCACUCCUGGAAGGUCUGUGACUGAUCGAGAAAGUUAUAGGAAUUACACUGGUUUACAUCUUUGCUGAAGGGGAAUCAGGGAAAGAACAACAGACUCUCCUUCUUCUAUCACAUUGAUUGUCAGACAUUGCCAAGGACUCAUCAGGAAAAUCAGGAAAAUCAGGAUCUGACCCUUGUUUAAUCCAUGUACGGUCACAUCUUGAACACCUGGAAUACCGUAACUCACUCCUGAAAGGUCUGUGAUUGAUCUAAAAAGUUACAGGAGUUACACUGGUUUUCAUCCUCUCCAAGUUCUUGCAGCUUCACUUCCUCCAAUGACUUGCUGAAGCUGCAGAUUUCUAAUGCCUCCAAAGCCAAACCCUUUUACUACAGCUCAACUGGACUCACCUUCCCUUAAGGUACAAGUAAGAUAUGAAACAAGACUUGUCUUUUUUCCUGGUACUCAGGUGGUGGAAUAAACUCACCCUGGCUGUCUGACCACUAGCUUUCUUGAAACAAAAGACUUACGACUUUACCAAGCACUUGAAUUAGGAUUUAAUUAAUCCCUUGUGUGUUGUUUUUUUCAUUCUGUACUAAUCUACUCCUUUUUUUUUUGCUUGAUUGUCCUCUCCUCAUAGUCCUUGACCUAGUGAACUAGCAUGAGGAUUUGGUUUUGAUGAAGGAUUUCUGCUCAGUGCUCUAAAUCUAAAUGUUUUCUUGGCUCUUAUUGGGGCAACACAGUGACUCUGAUAUCUGACAGAAUUCCAUUUUGAGAAGAUCUGAUUUGGAAAAAGCUGUAGCUUUUUCACUAUACAUUUAAAAUGAAACGUUUCUUAGGGUCUGUUUCGAAAAUAUUUCUACAAUAAAUAUACUUUUUGUAGUGUCAACGAACCAUUUCCUCUGAUUUUUAGAAGGACACGUUAUCCAGCAAGCAUCUGGACCAUGAGAUUCAUCCCAGUUAAAAACAUUUCUCACGUUUAGACAAGACUGUUUUCCAGGAUCGGCUUCAGAAAAGCUGAUGAUUUUCAUCUUGUCUUAUAUUAUCAUUUGCUGCAUUCCAAUGGAAAAAAAAAGACUUUGGAAACUUAAUCUUUUUAGUGGAGAGUCAUUAAAGAGAAGGUCUUUGGCCCUGUCUUUUAAAUUAGCUUAUUAUUUUCUCUCUUUAUUUCACUGCUCCCAAGUACAUGAACUCAAGAUUGCUCUAUUUUAUCCAUUAUUUCACCUGAAAGACCAAUUAGAGACAAUGAGAUGUGAUAGAUCCAUGAGGCACGACGGAAAAUUGCCAGUGUUUUAAAGAUGUUAAUGGAGGAGAGAUGCAAAAAUAUGUAUUUUUUUUCCCCCAGACACUGUAUUAAAUUGCUGUAUAGGAGUUUUAAUAAAGUUAGUCAAGUUAUAUAGAAAUGUACUAGUUUUAAGUGAUAAAUUCUCCAUCUGAUUAAUUGGCAAUUAACAUAUAACAAGGAUAAUUAAAGAUAAAUUAUUAGCCUAGCUUAUAUACUAAUGGAAUAGCCCAUUAAUUAAAUAUUUACUGUAUACUGUAUAACUUUACAGGUUGAA